UACGGGGGGGGCAAGCGUUGUUCGGAAUUACUGGGCGUAAAGGGCGCGUAGGCGGCCUUCUAAGUCGGACGUGAAAUCCCUCGGCUCAACCGAGGAACUGCGUCUGAUACUGGAAGGCUUGAAUCCGGGAGAGGGAUGUGGAAUUCCAGGUGUAGCGGUGAAAUGCGUAGAUAUCUGGAGGAACACCGGUGGCGAAGGCGGCAUCCUGGACCGGUAUUGACGCUGAUGCGCGAAAGCCAGGGGAGCAAACGGG
rnacentral:rRNA from 1 species